rnacentral:rRNA from 1 species
UACAGAGGGUGCAAGCGUUAAUCGGAAUUACUGGGCGUAAAGCGUGCGCAGACGGUUGCGUAAGUCAGAUGUGAAAUCCCCGGGCUUAACCUGGGAAUGGCAUUUGGGACUGCAAGGCUUGAGUGCGACAGAGGAGACUGGAAUUCCUGGUGUAGCAGUGAAAUGCGUAGAUAUCAGGAGGAAUACCGAUGGCGAAGGCAGGUCUCUGGGCUGACACUGACGCUCAUGCACGAAAGCGUGGGGAGCAAACAGG